UGGGGAAUAUUGCACAAUGGGGGAAACCCUGAUGCAGCCAUGCCGCGUGUAUGAAGAAGGCCUUCGGGUUGUAAAGUACUUUCAGCGAGGAGGAAGGCGUUAAGGUUAAUAACCUUGGCGAUUGACGUUACUCGCAGAAGAAGCACCGGCUAACUCCGUGCCAGCAGCCGCGGUAAUACGGAGGGUGCAAGCGUUAAUCGGAAUUACUGGGCGUAAAGCGCACGCAGGCGGUCUGUCAAGUCGGAUGUGAAAUCCCCGGGCUCAACCUGGGAACUGCAUUCGAAACUGGCAGGCUAGAGUCUUGUAGAGGGGGGUAGAAUUCCAGGUGUAGCGGUGAAAUGCGUAGAGAUCUGGAGGAAUACCGGUGGCGAAGGCGGCCCCCUGGACAAAGACUGACGCUCAUGCACGAAAGCGUGGGGAGCAAACA
rnacentral:rRNA from 1 species